rnacentral:rRNA from 1 species
GACAGAGGGUGCAAACGUUGCUCGGAAUUACUGGGCGUAAAGCGCGUGUAGGCGGACCACCAAGUCGGACGUGAAAGCCCUGAGCUCAACUCCGGAACUGCAUCCGAAACUGGCGGUCUGGAGUAGUGGAGAGGAAAGCAGAAUUCCUGGUGUAGAGGUGAAAUUCGUAGAUAUCAGGAGGAACACCGGUGGCGAAGGCGGCUUUCUGGACACUUACUGACGCUGAGACGCGAAAGCGUGGGGAGCAAACAGG